rnacentral:rRNA from 1 species
GACGAACGCUGGCGGCGCGCUUAACACAUGCAAGUCGAACGGAAAGGCCCUGCUUGCAGGGUACUCGAGUGGCGAACGGGUGAGUAACACGUGGGUGAUCUGCCCUGCACUUCGGGAUAAGCCUGGGAAACUGGGUCUAAUACCGGAUAGGAGCCAUUUUUAUUGUGAUGGUUGGAAAGUUUUUUCGGUGUAGGAUGAGCUCGCGGCCUAUCAGCUUGUUGGUGGGGUAAUGGCCUACCAAGGCGGCGACGGGUAGCCGGCCUGAGAGGGUGGACGGCCACAUUGGGACUGGGAUACGGCCCAGACUCCUACGGGAGGCAGCAGUGGGGAAUAUUGCACAAUGGGCGCAAGCCUGAUGCAGCGACGCCGCGUGGGGGAUGACGGCCUUCGGGGUGUAAACUCCUUUCGCUAGGGACGAAGCUUUUUGUGACGGUACCUAGAGAAGAAGCACCGGCUAACUACGUG